rnacentral:rRNA from 1 species
GGCCAGACUCCUACGGGAGGCAGCAGUGGGGAAUAUUGCACAAUGGGGGAAACCCUGAUGCAGCGACGCCGCGUGAGCGAUGAAGUAUUUCGGUAUGUAAAGCUCUAUCAGCAGGGAAGAAAAUGACGGUACCUGACUAAGAAGCCCCGGCUAACUACGUGCCAGCAGCCGCGGUAAUACGUAGGGGGCAAGCGUUAUCCGGAUUUACUGGGUGUAAAGGGAGCGUAGGCGGCCUGCCAAGUCUGAUGUGAAAUACCGGGGCUCAACCCCGGGGCUGCAUUGGAAACUGGCAGGCUGGAGUGUCGGAGAGGCAGGCGGAAUUCCUAGUGUAGCGGUGAAAUGCGUAGAUAUCAGGAGGAACACCGGUGGCGAAGGCGGCCUGCUGGACUGCAACUGACGUUGAGGCCCGAAAGCGUGGGGAGCAAACAGGAUUAGAUACCCCGGUAU